rnacentral:rRNA from 1 species
UACGUAGGGGGCGAGCGUUGUCCGGAUUUAUUGGGCGUAAAGAGCUCGUAGGCGGUUCAGUAAGUCGGGUGUGAAAACUUUGGGCUUAACCCAAAGCGUGCAUCCGAUACUGCUGUGACUUGAGUACGGUAGGGGAGCGGGGAAUUCCUGGUGUAGCGGUGAAAUGCGUAGAUAUCAAGAGGAACACCUGAGGUGAAGACGGGUUGCUGGGCUGACACUGACGCUGAAGCACGAAAGCUAGGGUAGCAAACGGG